rnacentral:rRNA from 1 species
GACGAACGCUGGCGGCGUGCCUAAUACAUGCAAGUAGAACGCACAGUUUAUACUGUAGCUUGCUACACCAUAAACUGUGAGUUGCGAACGGGUGAGUAACGCGUAGGUAACCUGCCUGGUAGCGGGGGAUAACUACUGGAAACGAUAGCUAAUACCGCAUAAUAUUGAUUAUUGCAUGAUAAUUGAUUGAAAGAUGCUAUUGCAUCACUACCAGAUGGACCUGCGUUGUAUUAGCUAGUAGGUGAGGUAACGGCUCACCUAGGCGACGAUACAUAGCCGACCUGAGAGGGUGAUCGGCCACACUGGGACUGAGACACGGCCCAGACUCCUACGGGAGGCAGCAGUAGGGAAUCUUCGGCAAUGGACGAAAGUCUGACCGAGCAACGCCGCGUGAGUGAAGAAGGUUUUCGGAUCGUAAAGCUCUGUUGUAAGAGAAGAACGGGUGUGAGAGUGGAAAGUUCACACUGUGACGGUAUCUUACCAGAAAGGGACGGCUAACUACGUG